UCUGCGAUUCCCCAAUCCCCACUUCCCCAUCUCCUCCAUCCCCCAAAUCCUAAAUUCCAGUCGUCGCACCAGCCGCGGAACCCUAGCUCCGGUGCUACUGCCAGAUCAGGACACCUCCUCCGGCGGAAUCGGCGGCGGCUCCUUCCCGGCGCCACACCUCGGAGGCUUGCGCUGCUCGGCGCGCCCCCCGUCGCGUCCUUCCUCCGGCUACGCCUUCAGGAUUCGCGCCGCUCUGGUCCGAGGGCUUUGAACCGUCCACUUACCUCUGUGCACAUGUCUUAUCCGUUCAUGUGCAAAGCAGGACGAUUACGCCAUCAACGGGUGCCGGACACGGACUCUUCCACCCUCCUUUGCCAGUGUUGUGUCAUGCUCGACCAUGCCAUCAACUUGUGCCAGACACGGACUCCCUCCUUUGCCACAUAAUAGGCAUCAAUCGCUCCAUGGAAGCAUCCAAUCUCGCUGCUCUACCAACUUCGCCGGAACACUGACCACCGGUGCUCCACCUCAGAGUUUGCGAAGAAAAAGGGGAAACCUAUAAUGAUGAGUGAUGACUAUGGUAUUAUAUCCAUCUAAUUACCAGAAUUUAAAUAGGCGUGUAGUAUAGAGAGGGACAUAUCAAGUUUACUAUGAACUCAAACAGGACAGGUUUGACAAACAACACACUUCAGGCUCUUUAAUUGAUUAUUAUUUUAGGGAGCAAAGAUGCACACCUGCCUUUCUUGCGCUGUGCUGGGUGUAUAUAAUUUCAUUCUGAUCACCUUGUGGGUUGGUGUGCUAGAUUGCCGCCCUAACAUUUUGCCGAUUAUAUCUAAUCAGUAUACACUAUGUUUCUGUGUUAUGCUAAUGGAUUGGAAUGAACAUAAAUUAACCAAGUAUAUUUACAUGGCCUUAUACUAUGCUUUUCGGUUAGGUUGUUUUCAACUGGAGACAAAUCAGUGUUCUUGUCAUCCAUGGAAGAAGCGGUCAACCUUAUUACUAACUAACAUGUAAACAGUUGUGUUGCCUUCCUAGUCCUAUCAUGGAUUUUAAGCAUACUACUAACGACAUGUUGGCGAGUGUGGCAGGUUUUACCUAAUUCAAAACAUGGACAGUACUGAAAUUCUAGCCUUCACGUAGCCAGUAUACCCCAUCUAAAUUUCUGAAGUUUAUGGACAGUACAACUAAAUUUAGCAGCUGUUGCUAGUGAAACACAAUUGGGUAGAGCAAAUUAAUUGCUGUUGUACUGAAACAGUAGGUUCAAUUGGUUUUUGUGCAGCAGGAGGGCAGAAAUUAUAUUACCUCCGUACUAAAUACUUAUCUUAGAUUUGUCUAGAUACGGAUGAUGUGCUAUUCCUGGGUUAUUAUAAUUCUUGAUCAUGGGCUGGCUGCUGUUGCUUCUUCCAUCUCACCAAGGAAUCCAGGAACUCCAUUUCCUGCGUGGCAAUUUGGCCAGUGAAACGGCCAGAUCGGUGAGCAACUGACCGAGCAAAAUCGACAGGUUGUUUUCUUAUUGCAGACCAUGCUUUAGAGACACACAAACCGCUACUGCUGCUUUUGCUUUGUGACAUUUUCAGAUCCACAGAUAGAUCUGCUGAUGGAUUUAAGUUUUCAUUCACCAACUUCAAAUACUCAAUUCCUCAGAGAUGAGGAUCUUUCUGCAGCUCAUGUUUUAUCAAACGUGUUUCUCCUUUUAACGUUAGCUUGGUCAAUGUGCAUGCUAUUCGAUUAUCCGAAGCAAAACUAAUCCUUUGCACCCCAGCGAUGGAUAAAGCCAGGUCUGUUUUCCUGGGGACAACCAAUCCUUGAGAAGGCCCAAAGAUUUGGGGGCAGGGAGAAGCCUUGAGAGUACAUGACUUAUUUGUGAAUCUGGAUGUUACGACUGAUCAUAUCCAGUAUAGUUGUUGAACAAAUAUUCUAAGCAUCCCACCAUCAAAGCAUCCUAGCUGCAUUUUCCGUUCAUCAUUAUGAAUAAAGCACUAUAGCUGGGCUAACUGAGGCGCACUGUGACCUGCUACUUCAUUACUUAAUUAACAAGUUUCAGAUAGGUGAAUUUCUUUUUUACCAUCCUACAACAUUUCUGCGAGAGUAAGAAGGACAAUUGGUGUUUUUAUGUACGUACCAAGCUUGAUGAACGCUCACCAUGAAGCCUUCCGCAGUUCACAAGCUCACCAAGAUAGUUGUGCAGAAUUUUCAGAAUACGCUUCUCUUGCUAUUUUUGUUUGGUGGCUGAGGGAAUUGCAGAUGCAAGCCUGCAACACUCGGUGUCUGGAAAACCUAUCUUGGUCGUUACACAUCAGUUCCUGGGUUCCAGGGGACACGGGCCUUUUGUCAUACUUCCAUGUGUCAGAAGGGCCGGAUCUUGGCAUUCCUGCCCUUACUCCAGAAACAGGAACUGCGGUUAAAAUGUUUUCUGUUGAGCAUACUUGUUCAUCGUGCUGUUUCUGAACUGCUUCCGUGUCUUGGUUUCUGAAAGAAAGGCAACCCUCUGCUUGAUCUAGUUUUCUUUAGAAACAGUAAUAUGAAACAGUAAAGAGAUUCAGAGAAAAUAUGUCGUGAUAAGAUGUAAAUUCAUAUACGCAUUUAUCACCAUUAGACCCGUGAAUGAAAUAUAUACCA